GUUGCCGGUUUCAAAUGUGCUUUCUGUGAGAAAGUCAAGAAGGUGCCACUCCCAGCCAAGGAUAAUCCUAAUCCCUGACUUCAGCUUCUUGCUAUCUACACCAUCUGUAAAGGUUACCUAUCCUUAGACAUGUUAGAAACCAUAUCAGUAACCAUAUGAUAUUUAAAAUCUUGAGAUCAAUUGUGUCAAGUAAAACAAAUCAUGCCAGAUAAAAAUUAUGAAUUUUUCCAUAAAAGCAUCAUCUUCAGGAAGGACCUCAGGAUCCUUCCUGAGGAUGGUAUAACUUUGCGGCAGCCCUCCCAGAAAGACUCCUGUGUUAUCUCCAAUAACAGUACUACCAUUCAGGAUGGCAGAGGAACCUAGAGAAGAGGAGAUGAGAAAUACACCUUCACCAGGAUACUCUAGUUUUACUAGCUCAGCAAAUAAUAAAAUCCUUCACCAGUCUUUGGGAUACCA
rnacentral:antisense_RNA from 1 species